rnacentral:rRNA from 1 species
CAAUGGCUGUAACAGAGGGAAGCAAGAUAGUGAUAUUAAGCAAACCCAAAAAAGCAGUCUCAGUUCGGAUUGAAGGCUGAAAUUCGCCUUCAUGAAGCCGGAAUUGCUAGUAAUGGCAGGUCAGCAUACUGCCGUGAAUACGUUCCCGGGCCUUGUACACACCGCCCGUCACACCAUGAGAGUCGGGAACACCCGAAGUCCGUAGUCUAACCGCAAGGGGGGCGCGGCCGAAGGUGGGUCCGGUAAUUGGGGUGAAGUCGUAACAAGGUACC